AUAAUAAUAAUAAUAUGAAUAAAUAAAGGUACAACGGGAAAAAAGAAAAAGAAAAGGGUAUAUUGUAUUGUAUUGAUCGAGAAGGUUUGUGAAUUUAGGGGGAUGACGUCUUCUACUAGUGAGAAACCAUUAGUGGAGUUGACGAAGGGCGUUAAUGGCCUUGAAAAAGUUGUUCUCCGGGAGGUUCGCGGCAGCUCUGCCGAGGUGUAUCUCUAUGGUGGUCAGGUGACGUCUUGGAAGAAUGAUCACAGAGAAGAAUUGCUCUUUGUUAGUAGUAAGGCCAUUUUUAAGCCUCCAAAAGCAAUUCGUGGAGGUAUUCCUAUAUGUUUCCCACAGUUUGCAAAUCGUGGCUCUCUCGAGUCUCAUGGAUUUGCCCGAAACAGGUUUUGGAGCAUCGACAAAGAUCCGCCUCCAUUUCCUGCAGCAACUUCUUCUAGGGCUUUUGUUGACUUGAUCUUGAAACCCUCUGAGGAGGACUUGAAAAUCUGGCCUCACAGUUUCGAGUUUCGGCUGCGGGUAGCAUUGAGUCCCGCUGGGGAUUUGAUGUUGACGUCUCGUAUUAGAAACACCAACAUUGAUGGAAAGCCUUUCACAUUUACAUUUGCGUAUCACACCUACUUCUCUUUUUCAGACAUCAGUGAAGUUCGUGUUGAGGGCCUUGAGACACUUGAUUAUCUUGAGAAUAAGGAGAGAUUCACUGAGCAAGGCGAUGCAAUUACUUUUGAGUCUGAAGUGGAUAAAAUAUAUCUCAGUACUCCCACAAAAAUUGCCAUCUUGGAUCAUGAAAAGAAACGAACAUUUGUUAUUCGUAAGGAUGGGUUACCAGAUGCAGUUGUGUGGAACCCUUGGGACAAGAAGGCAAAGUCAAUGACUGAUUUUGGAGAUGAAGAGUACAAGCACAUGCUGUGUGUUGAGGCUGCUGCAGUGGAAAAAUCUGUCACUUUGAAACCUGGUGAAGAGUGGAGAGGAAGACAAGAACUUUCUGCUGUUCCUUCAAGUUAUUGCAGUGGUCAGCUUGACCCAAAGAAAGUUCUCCUUGGCAGCUGAGAAAAGCUAUUUACUGGUUUAUUGUGUACAGGUGCUUUGUUGCAAUUUAUGGUUGGAGUGCAACAGCAACCUCUGCCAAAGACCCUUUACUCUUCUCCUCUUUUACAUUUUCCUAUACAUUGGGUUGGAAGGUUCCGGAGAAGGGUUCUACCACAAUGGUGUAUUUUGCGCAUUCUUACCUUGCAUUUCUGUCUAAGGAUAGAGGAUGUUGGAUGUUACGUCAGUGCCGCUAAUAGAAUUGGAAUUUUUGGUAUUUCAUGUUUUUUCACUCUACUGACUGUUAGGCCUUUAUGCCAAAUAAAUACAUGUGUCUAUUCGUCCGGAAGUAAGGUAGAUGGACAGCAUCGACACCCCGGCAGUUGUAUUGAGUUUUAGUACUUAUUAGUCUCUCAAGUUUGAUCAACAUGUCAGAUUCUCCUCUUUUGACAACCAAUGAUAGACCAAAUCCGUUUCUUUGCC